rnacentral:rRNA from 1 species
GUCUAUGGCCAUGCCACCCUGAACAAGCUCGAUCUCGUCUGAUCUCGGAAGCUAAGCAGGGUCGGGCCUGGUUAGUACUUGGAUGGGAGGCCACCUAGGAAAACCAGAUGCUGUAGGCA